CACACUGUUAAAGUACCGGGCUGUUACCUAGUAUAUAGUGAUUCUGGCAGGAAGAAAAGGCAAAGCAAUCUUCUUCGGCUACAAAUGUCUUAGGCCCAUUAUUGUAAGACGUGUGAAAGUACUACAUUUACAGAAAGGUCUAAGUAAUCGCAAACAAGGUGAGGAAAUUUACUUCUAACGGGCAAGAUAUAAUCUCCCUAAAAGGAACCUUAAAGUAGGACUUAUUCAGCUGUACAUUUAGGUUACUUUGCUGUCAAGGGAAACUGGAGGAAGAUUUGAGGGCAAAUGUUACCCUGAAAUACACACACAGCUGCAUGCAAGUAUCUAGGGCACAGUUUUGCUGCAGUUAAGUAGAAGGCCUUAAUCAUUCUUGCAAACGUUUAGCUCCUGGUAAUAAACAAGUUUCUUUCUUAAUGAUCA
rnacentral:lncRNA from 1 species